CACGACUACAUUAGAUACCCCCUGUAGUCCUAGCCGUAAACGAUACUCGCUAGGUGUCGGCCACGGUGCGACCGUUGUCGGUGCCGUAGGGAAGCCGUGAAGCGAGCCACCUGGGAAGUACGGCCGCAAGGCUGAAACUUAAAGGAAUUGGCGGGGGAGCACCACAACGGGUGGAGCUUGCGGUUUAAUUGGAUUCAACGCCGGAAAUCUUACCGGGACCGACAGCAACAUGAAGGCCAGGCUGAAGACUUUGCCGGAUUAGCUG
rnacentral:rRNA from 1 species